AGAGUUUGAUCAUGGCUCAGAAUCAACGCUGGCGGCGUGCCUCAGACAUGCAUGUCGAACGAGAACCUUCCUUCGGGGAGGGGACAGUGGCGCACGGGUGAGUAACACGUGGGUAAUUUACCUUUGGGUGGGGAACAACAGCCGGAAACGGCUGCUAAUACCGCAUAAUGCAGCGGCUCGACAUCGAGACAGUUGUUAAAGCGGGGGAUCUUCGGACCUCGCGCCUAAAGAGAAGCCCGCGGCAGAUUAGCUAGUUGGUAGGGUAAUGGCCUACCAAGGCGACGAUCUGUAACCGGCCUGAGAGGGCGGUCGGUCACACUGACACUGACAUACGGGUCAGACUCCUACGGGAGGCAGCAGUCGGGAAUUUUGGGCAAUGGGCGAAAGCCUGACCCAGCAACGCCGCGUGAAGGAUGAAGCUUUUCGGAGUGUAAACUUCAUAAGAAUGGGAAGAAUAAGUUUAGGAUAAUACCCUGAACGAUGACGGUACCAUUUGUAAGCUCCGGCUAACUCCGUGCCAGCAGCCGCGGUAAUACGGGGGGAGCAAGCGUUGUUCGGAUUUACUGGGCGUAAAGGGCGCGUAGGCGGCGCGACAAGUCACUUGUGAAAUCUCUGGGCUCAACCCAGAACGGUCAAGUGAUACUGUCGUGCUAGAGUGCGGAAGGGGCAACUGGAAUUCUUGGUGUAGCGGUGAAAUGCGUAGAUAUCAAGAGGAACACCUGCGGCGAAGGCGGGUUGCUGGGCCGACACUGACGCUGAGGCGCGAAAGCUAGGGGAGCGAACGGGAUUAGAUACCCCAGUAGUCC
rnacentral:rRNA from 1 species